AGCGGCGGAUGGGUGAGUAACACGUGGGGAACCUGCCCCUAAGUCUGGGAUACCAUUUGGAAACAGGUGCUAAUACCGGAUAAUAAAGCAGAUCGCAUGAUCAGCUUUUGAAAGGCGGCGUAAGCUGUCGCUAAGGGAUGGCCCCGCGGUGCAUUAGCUAGUUGGUAAGGUAACGGCUUACCAAGGCGACGAUGCAUAGCCGAGUUGAGAGACUGAUCGGCCACAUUGGGACUGAGACACGGCCCAAACUCCUACGGAGGCAGCAGUAGGGAAUCUUCCACAAUGGACGCAAGUCUGAUGGAGCAACGCCGCGUGAGUGAAGAAGGUUUUCGGAUCGUAAAGCUCUGUUGUUGGUGAAGAAGGAUAGAGGUAGUAACUGGCCUUUAUUUGACGGUAAUCAGCCAGAAAGUCACGGCUAACUACGUGCCAGCAGCCGCGGUAAUACGUAGGUGGCAAGCGUUGUCCGGAUUUAUUGGGCGUAAAGCGAGCGCAGGCGGAAAAAUAAGUCUAAUGUGAAAGCCCUCGGCUUAACCGAGGAACUGCAUCGGGAACUGUUUUUCUUGAGUGCAGAAGAGGAGAGUGGAACUCCAUGUGUAGCGGUGGAAUGCGUAGAUAUAUGGAAGAACACCAGUGGCGAAGGCGGCUCUCUGGUCUGCAACUGACGCUGAGGCUCGAAAGCAUGGGUAGCGAACAGGAUUAGAUACCCUGGUAGUCCAUGCCGUAAACGAUGAGUGCUAAGUGU
rnacentral:rRNA from 1 species